rnacentral:rRNA from 1 species
UUAGUGGCUGACGGGUGAGUAACGCGUGGGGUCUGCCUUUGGAGGGGGAUAACAACUGGAAACGGUCGCUAAUACCCCAUAUGCCUCCUGGUGAAAAGUAUUUCUCCUGAAGAUGAGCUCUCGUCAGAUUUUAUGGUUGGUGGAGUAAGAAUCUUCCCGGGCUUACUUUUGCCUCUGCUGUGAUCAGAUGUCCAUCACCACCGUUGGUGAUACUCCGACCACCAUACUGCAACAGGCACCUCUGGGUAAUUAACUUUUAUGGCCGCAAGCCUGACGGAACAAAACCGCCUGGGGGAUGACGGCCUAUUGGUUGUAAACCCCUUUUUUCUGGGAAGAAGACUGACGGUAACAGAAGAGACAGAAUCCACUAACACCGCGCUCCCACCCGCCGUCAUCCGGAGUAGUGCAAGAGUCAUCCGGUAUUUUUGGUGUUAGGGUUCGUCGUGGUUCUGCGGGUCUGCUGGUUUUCCGUGCGUUUUUACUCUCUAAAGGCAGUUAAAACUGAGUGAGUAGAAUGCCGUAAGAGUCUAGGGAAUACUGCGUGUAGCGGUGAAAUGCCAGAGAUUCGGAAGAACACCGAUGGCCAACGCGCUUCACUGGGCCUG